GACGAACGCUGGCGGCGUGCUUAACACAUGCAAGUCGAACGGAAAGGCCCUGCUUUUGUGGGGUGCUCGAGUGGCGAACGGGUGAGUAACACGUGAGUAACCUGCCCUUGACUUUGGGAUAACUUCAGGAAACUGGGGCUAAUACCGGAUAGGAGCUCCUGCUGCAUGGUGGGGGUUGGAAAGUUUCGGCGGAUGGGGAUGGACUCGCGGCUUAUCAGCUUGUUGGUGGGGUAGUGGCUUACCAAGGCUUUGACGGGUAGCCGGCCUGAGAGGGUGACCGGCCACAUUGGGACUGAGAUACGGCCCGGACUCCUACGGGAGGCAGCAGUGGGGAAUAUUGCACAAUGGGCGGAAGCCUGAUGCAGCAACGCCGCGUGCGGGAUGACGGCCUUCGGGUUGUAAACCGCUUUCGCCUGUGACGAAGCGUGAGUGACGGUAAUGGGUAAAGAAGCACCGGCUAACUACGUG
rnacentral:rRNA from 1 species